rnacentral:rRNA from 1 species
AACGAACGCUGGCGGCAUGCCUAACACAUGCAAGUCGAACGAGACCUUCGGGUCUAGUGGCGCACGGGUGCGUAACGCGUGGGAAUCUGCCCUUGGGUUCGGAAUAACAGUGAGAAAUUACUGCUAAUACCGGAUGAUGUCUUCGGACCAAAGAUUUAUCGCCCAGGGAUGAGCCCGCGUAGGAUUAGCUAGUUGGUGGGGUAAUGGCCUACCAAGGCGACGAUCCUUAGCUGGUCUGAGAGGAUGAUCAGCCACACUGGGACUGAGACACGGCCCAGAAUCCUACGGGAGGCAGCAGUGGGGAAUAUUGGACAAUGGGCGCAAGCCUGAUCCAGCAAUGCCGCGUGAGUGAUGAAGGCCUUAGGGUUGUAAAGCUCUUUUACCCGGGAUGAUAAUGACAGUACCGGGAGAAUAAGCUCCGGCUAACUCCGUG